GUGUUGUUAACGUCCAGCGGACUUUUAAUCCGCUGGUCGCUGGUUCGAUUCCAGCACGGCCCACCA
rnacentral:tRNA from 1 species